rnacentral:rRNA from 1 species
GAUGAACGCUGGCGGCGUGCUUAACACAUGCAAGUCGAACGGACCUUGAGGAGCUUGCUCCUCUUGGUUAGUGGCGGACGGGUGAGUAACGCGUGGGUAACCUGCCCUAUGCAGGGGGAUAACGUUUGGAAACGAACGCUAAUACCGCAUAACAUAAGAAGUUUGAACGAACUUCUUAUCAAAGAUUUAUCUGCAUAGGAUGGACCCGUGUUGGAUUAGGUAGUUGGUGAGAUAACAGCCCACAAAGGCAACGAUCCAUAGCCGGCCUGAGAGGGUGAACGGCCACACUGGGACUGAGAUACGGCCCAGACUCCUACGGGAGGCAGCAGUGGGGAAUAUUGCACAAUGGGCGCAAGCCUGAUGCAGCGACGCCGCGUGAAGGAUGAAGGUUUUCGGAUCGUAAACUUCUAUCAGCAGGGAAGAACCAAAUGACGGUACCUGACUAAGAAGCCCCGGCUAACUACGUGCCAGCCGCCGCGGUAACAC